CUUCACGUCACCCCUGUGACAUUUGGUGGGAUAAGAAGAAUUGGCAUAAUCAUGAAACUCAUGCUGCUGGCUCUGUAGAAAGAAAAUUGCCUAAGACCUCAGGACUACGUUUCUCAUUUUCUUAAGAAGUGUUUGGUAUAACUGAACAUUACUGUGCAGUCCUGUAUCUUCACAUCAAACUACUACCUUCUCUAAUCAUUUGUCUAACUUCAUAUGUGGUCCUUGACAUCAUUGGCUAAUGAGAUAUAAGAAGAGCAUGGGCAAUUUUAGAAAGGCAUGUCUAAAUGGAAAGAACCACAUCUUUCUAUUUUACACUUCUCUCUCCGG